rnacentral:rRNA from 1 species
UACGGGGGGGGGCAAGCGUUGUUCGGAAUUACUGGGCGUAAAGGGCUCGUAGGCGGCCAACUAAGUCAGACGUGAAAUCCCCAGGCUUAACCUGGGAACUGCGUCUGAUACUGGAUGGCUUGAGAUUGGGGAGAGGGAUGCGGAAUUCCAGGUGUAGCGGUGAAAUGCGUAGAUAUCUGGAGGAACACCGGUGGCGAAGGCGACAUCCUGGACCAACACUGACGCUGAGGAGCGAAAGCCAGGGGAGCAAACGGG